rfam:Omnitrophica bacterium OLB16 TZ16_OP3001CONTIG000104, whole genome shotgun sequence.
GGGGCUGUAGCUCAGUUGGGAGAGCGCUUGAAUGGCAUUCAAGAGGUCAGGGGUUCGAUUCCCCUCAGCUCCA